AUGACUUAGGCCACUUAGUGGAAAAAUGGAUCUAAAAGAUGAAUUUAGAAGUUUGGAUCCUUACAUGCGAAGGCGAGUGCGAUUUGUGACGAUAUUUUGCGGAGUCUGGGGUGGUGUUCUAGUACUAACAGCAGCAGGCUUUCAAAUCUGUAAACCGUGGAUGGACAAAGUCAGACUUCAGAGGGAAGCAUUAGUUACAACAAACCUUGAAGAUACAAAAGAUGGUGACUUAUUGACAACAUAACAGAGUAGUAUGGGAUUUUCUAGGAGAUUGUGUCUUAACCAACUGUGGGUACACUUUGUUCUGUUUGCUUAAAUAGCACUUUUUAAAAAAAAGAAAAAAUAAAAAGAAAAAAAAAGGGCAACAACAACAACCAUAAGAAACUGGAAUGGCAUGAUAAUUGUUUAUGAAUGUGUAAUGUACCACAUUCAGUGUAUCUGUUAAAAAAAAUCAAUGCUGUGAAUGGGAAUUGAAAGGAGAAGGUAUGCAAGAUCAUGUUUAAGACUUUGGAAUUCUGUCAUUCUGGAGUUGGGAGCCCAAGGUUCUUUGGAACUGUCCUAUGGUAACAGUGACUGCUUCAAUGGUUUGUUUGGACACAUUGUAUCAUUACAUGGAGGUGUGAUUUUUAAGUCUGUAUGACUGCACAUGUCCAGGAAUUUUCAAUGGAGAAGAAAACUACAGAGUUGUAUUUUAAAAUGAGGCAUUUGGAUGUAAAUUUGCAGAAAUUCUUCAAAAACAAAAGUUUUACUGUGAUGAAGUUCUAGGCUGAAAAGAAGAAAAUAUAUCAUCUUGGAAAACAUAUCCUCUUGGUAAUGGAUUUUUACUUUGUUUAUUGCUUAUUCAGUGCUCUAAGCUGCAACUGUUUUGGCCACCUGUAAACAAAGACUUAGAGAUAUUAAAUCAAAGAAUUGAGGUA